UACAACCCCAGGGACUGAAGUCCUCUGUCCAUCCUCAGAACAGGCACAGCAUGGACAGCAGCAGGGUGAGCUCUGUCACCUCCCAUUAUGACUCUGCAUUGACCUAGGUUGCUCACCAGAUGGAAGGAGAGGUAAAUUUGUGCCCAUUCACUCCCUGUCCUCUCUACUGAGCCUCC
ensembl:misc_RNA